UGGUGUUACUAUGGAAGACCAAGACGCUAAUAGUGAACGUGCUCGAGCAGCUUUGUGCACCAAUCUGGCACUAGUGCGUAUUCUUAAGAGUGAUUUAUCUGAGGCAGAACGCUUACUUCUCAGGG
rnacentral:ribozyme from 1 species